GGCAGAUGAUGUCCAUUUUCUCGAUGGUCUUCAGACAUCCCCAAGGGCCACUGCUGAGACGCCGAUGGGAAGCAAGGCUGGUGCCACAAA